AUUUUUUAAAAAGCUGGAGUGUACCGGGAGGCUGCAGCCCGGGGCCGAGGAAGCGCGGGCGGAGGGAAGCCAGAUUCCAGGGGGUUCCUUCCGAAACCACAUCUUAAAACAUACAUUAAAACCCAGUUUUGCAGCUGCUUUCCCUGGGUGCCAAUGGAAAGUGUGAUCCAGAGCCUGGGGCCUGAGGAGACCCCUGGAGGGCAGUGUCUACACCUUCUGCAAAGGCAUAAACUUCCCCCACGGAGGAUCCUGGGGGAACAGCCUGGUACUUCUCCAGAGGCUCCCUGUGCUUUCGCCUGGCUGGCAAAUUACUUCACAUACCUGGAUGGACCUAUCCAAAAAAUAAAAGAAGGGAGGGAGACAGAGGAGGAAGGAAAAAGCUGAAUCUGCUCUAAAUAAGUCUAUACUUGCCUUUAGACUGGGUGGCUGUGUACUGAGUCAAUAAUGUAUGGGGAGUGGGGAGCAGUAGUCUCACCACUUAAGUAAGAGGCCCCUUUGAAGACAACAAGGAGCUCUGGUUAGAACACUGUUAGGUGAAAUGCUCAGUUUAGCUGCUUAAAGUGAGCAUCAAAGGCAUACAGGUGCUGGCCAAUGAAGCCAGUCCAAUGUACUAUAUUUUAAAAAGUCCUAAUGUAAUACUCAGCACACAGUAGAUGCUCAAUAAAUGGUUUUUUGUGUGAAUAGUGAAUAAACCCUAUCACCACAUAAAUGAAACCAACAUAAGCAUCCAAGCUCCAUUAGUUUUCCUCAGAGACCACUAAGACUUUGAUUAGGCAACCCUAUUUAGGGUGUAUUUUAGCCUAAAAGUGAUUCCCACCAACGAAAGUGAGUUCAAAAUGAUUAUUCCCAAAUAUCAGAGCGGCUGAACAAUAAAGAAUACAACAUAAGAUGUUUCCAUCAAUUCCAGCACCCUACACUGCCAAUAUCUUCCAAAUAGACCAGUAUCGAGAACAUAGUAUCAAAAGAUCCAUUUUUUUUAACAUUGCUUUUUGGAUAUGUACAAAUUUGA